rnacentral:lncRNA from 12 species
AUGUUACAUUUUUCUCAGUUGCUGACUAGCAGACCUCUUUCAGAGGCUUGUUUACCACCAGCAUCACUUCGUCAUCAUUUUCAUCAGCCCUGUGAAGUCCUGUAUUUUUGCAGUCAUGUUAAUGGCAUCCAAGUAGUGCUAAGUUGCCAGUGGAAACUGCCCAUGGGCCACAUGAGAGACCACGGAUCCUGUAAUGCUGGGAGGCAUAAAGCUGGCACAGAAGUGCUGCAGAGAGGCUGUCACCAGUUAGAGGGAAGGAGCCAGAGAAGCAAGAGGUGUGGCAACAGCCAAGGGUCUUCAAAGGUAGAUGGACUGUGCACCCCCUUCCUGAAUGGGAGACCAGCACAGAGACCUUGGGGGCACGCCCCGCCCAGUCCUGCCCAGCCUCGCCCAGGCUCCAGCCGGAGGCUCCACCCCAGGCCAUGGCCUUCCACUUGCUCACGUGACCACGCCACAGGCAUGCAGAGAGGCAGGCUGAGCUCUGCCAGGCCAGCAGGGUCCUUGCCAGGCCUGGUGGACUUCGAGGACAGGGAGCAGGUGAAGGCCUUUCUGGAGAACGUCGUGGAGUGCAAGUACCAGUGCUACUGUGAGAAGGACCCGGAUGGACAGAAAGUUAUCUAA